rnacentral:lncRNA from 1 species
CUGUAACGGGAAAGAACAAAAUAUACCUGGAGCAUCUUAAUUGUGGCAGAAUUUAAGAAGGUGCUGAAAGAGUGACAAAGAGUCUGCUUCCCUGGACCUGUGCUGAGGCUCCAUGUGAAUCUCCAAGAUCUUCCUAUCGAGGUUUGUCAUACAUGUGCAGGAACCCACCACACUGCUCCCCCUUCCUUUCUGAGUACCCUGAGUAGACUGCAUUUUAUCAGUGUGCCAGCCUGUUCUCAAGCCUGCUAUAGUCCCUCUAGCACAUAGAUUAAUUUUUCCUCAGAGAGCCAAGAAGGGACAUAAGCAUUUUCCUCCUUGAAAACCUGUCAGAACUUUCAAAACAACCUAAAAGUGUUAAAAGGUAUAUGCAGC